AUUGAACGCUGGCGGCAGGCCUAACACAUGCAAGUCGAGCGAGCGGCGGACGGGUGAGUAAUGUAUGGGGACUGCCCGAUCGAGGGGGGUAACUCAUGGAAACGGUAGCUCAUACCGCAUACUAUCGGAUAACCCAUAUGGGAUUAGCUAGUAGGUGUGGUAAUGGCGCACCUAGGCGAAGAUCCCUAGCUGGUCUGAGAGGGGGAUCAGCCACACUGGGACUGAGACACGGCCCAGACUCCGACGGAGGCAGCAGUGGGGAAGUUGGGACAAUGGGGGAAACCCUGAUCCAGCCAUCCCGCGUGUAUGAUGAAGGCCUUCGGGUUGUAAAGUACUUGUGGCAGAGAAGCGGUAUCUGCAGAAUAAGCACCGGCUAACUACGUGCCAGCAGCCGCGGUAAUUC
rnacentral:rRNA from 1 species